GCCUGUUUAUCAAAAACAUCGCUCCUUGUAAUCUCAAAAAAUAAGGAGUCGGACCUGCCCGGUGAAAAUUUUUAACGGCCGCGGUACUCUGACCGUGCAAAGGUAGCAUAAUCAUUUGCCUUAUAAUUGAAGGCUAGUAUGAAUGGUUUGACGAGAAUAUAGCUGUCUCUCUGUGAUUUUUAAGAAAUUUAUAUUUAGGUGAAGAAGCCUAAAUAACAUUAAAAGACAAGAAGACCCCAUCGAGCUUGAAAUAAGUUAGUAGACUUAGUUUUUAAUAUUUAAUAGAAAACCGACUAUUAAAAAUUUUGGUUGGGGCGACUUAGGAACAGGAAAAGCUUCCUAUAAUAUUUUCAAACAUACAAGCACUGAUCCGGAACAAUUCCGAUUAACGAAAUUAGUUACCGUGGGGAUAACAGCAUUAUCUUUUUUGAGAGCCCUAAUCGAAAAAAAGGUUUGUGACCUCGAUGUUGGACCAGAAUAUCCUAAAGAUGCAGCAGUCUUCAAGGGUUGGUCUGUUCGACCAUUAAAAUUCUACGUGAUCUGAGUUCA
rnacentral:rRNA from 1 species